UUGGGAGUAGCUCAGCCUGGUAGAGCACUCGGUUGAGGACCGAGUGGACGUGGGUUCGAAUCCCACCUCCCCGACC
rnacentral:tRNA from 1 species